rnacentral:lncRNA from 1 species
GGGAACUCAGCCACCAUGCCCCACGUGACCGGCACGCGCGCCCUAGAAGAUUACAGCUGCCCCUUGAUCCAGUAACCCGACCCCGAGUCGGAUAUCUUCGGCCUCGCAGCCCGACCCCGAGUCGGCUGCCCCUUGAUCCAGUAACCCGACCCCGAGUCGGAUAUCUUCGGCCUCGCAGCCCGACCCCGAGUCGGCUGCCCCUGGAUCCAGCAAUCCGACCCCGAGUCGGCAAUCUCUC